CCUACGGGUGGCAGCAGUGAGGAAUAUUGGUCAAUGGACGAGAGUCUGAACCAGCCAAGUAGCGUGAAGGAUGACUGCCCUAUGGGUUGUAAACUUCUUUUAUAUGGGAAUAAAAUGUUCCACGUGUGGGAUUUUGUAUGUACCAUAUGCAUAAGGAUCGGCUAACUCCGUGCCAGCAGCCGCGGUAAUACGGAGGAUCCGAGCGUUAUCCGGAUUUAUUGGGUUUAAAGGGAGCGUAGGUGGAUUGUUAAGUCAGUUGUGAAAGUUUGCGGCUCAACCGUAAAAUUGCAGUUGAAACUGGCAGUCUUGAGUACAGUAGAGGUGGGCGGAAUUCGUGGUGUAGCGGUGAAAUGCUUAGAUAUCACGAAGAACUCCGAUUGCGAAGGCAGUUCACUGGACUGCAACUGACACUGAGGCUCGAAAGUGUGGGUAUCAAACAGGAUUAGAUACCCUUGUAGUC
rnacentral:rRNA from 1 species